AAAUAGCAAUGAUCCUUUUGCAACAAGAUCCAUAAAAAUAUACUCCAUAAUCCAGGGAAAUUUGGUACAGUUCUCUGCUUACUGUGCUGUUACAUCCCUUGAUAUUAACUAUAAAGGCAGCAAUGUAUGUGCGCAUAUGAGUGAGUGUGACAGCACUUAGGAGGAUGAGAAUGGAGCUUCUUUCUUUCUGAUUGCCUUUUAAUGAAUGAAAAUGAAAAUUCAAAGCCUUGCUGCGUGAUACUAAUCUCCACAUUUGGCAUCUGGGAUUGAUUCUGCAGGGCUGCUGUGUGCGGAUCCCCCUCCACACCUCCGCCAGAGCCGCAGGCACAGGGAGUGCAGCAUCCAGCCCCAGGUGCUGCUCUGUUCCUGCUUCCUGGGGAUAUCGUCUCAUGAUAGCCAGGAGGAAAAACAAAACAAAAAUCCAACCGGGCAGCUGAGGAAUUGGCUUAUAGAGUUAAAAUUUGGAAUAGAUUACAGCAACGCCUGACUACCAAACUAUUGCAUUUGCUAAAUAUUUAAGCAGAUAAUGCAAAUAAUUGCAGCUAAAACCAAUUCUUUCUGAGGAAAGAAUAUGGAGCGAGAGGACAGGAUACUGUUUGGCUUAUGUUAGGCAUAUUAAAUUAAUCUUAGCUGGUGUUGAUAAGUCUGUCAAUCCACGGGAGGGGGAAAAAAUGCCUUAAAGGAAAUAAGCGUAGCAGGAAAAAGAAAAUCUGUAUUCAGGAUGGUGCUCUGGGUACCGGAUUGCAGCACUGAUGGAGACAGUGGAGGUGAAAGGGAGAAGCGCAUACUAUUCCAUAUUGCUGUCCUGAUUAUCAGGCAAGGUGGCUGAGGCAGUGUGAAUUAUUUAACUUCAAAUAGGUGUGUAAAUAACAAGUAAAUGUUAUCUCUGAUCCUUUUUAGCUUUUUUAAUAGUUUUUUUUAGAUUCAAGAAUUGAGAAACUUACAAGGAAGCUGACAAUGAUAUACCUGGAAAAGAGUACGGUGCAGCUACCUUUGUUGUUUCUCAUGGAUGCCAUAUUCAACACAGUGACACAAAGACAAUCCUUACCCAAAGGAGCAGAGGGCACUGACAGGGUGGUGGACUAACUCCAGUUCUUUUGUUCUAGCUGAAUAAGGUAGCAUUUUUAAAAGAAUCCAAGUACAGUUCUGGUUGAGAAGUCAUAUAUCUGAGUUAGCUCCAUGUGGUGCCAGACUUAACAACCCCUGCUGAGAGGCAAGGCCGUGUUCGCAUGACUGUGCAGGCUUCUGGACUGGAGCUGGAUAGUAAGCCUUAUUUUCAGAGUUACUAAGCGCCACACAAAAAUAAAUAUUUAGACAUCUACACAUACAAAUGCACACUUGAUAGGUUUAUAAAAGUGCUUAUGUAGUUAGGUGCCUGCUCUUAAAUCAGUGUGAACCUUAAGUAAUGAAAUCUUCUAGAAAUCCCACUAAGCAUGGUGUUUGGUCUUCCACCUAAAUAGUCUGUAAGAUCUGGCCUGCUGACUGUCAGUAAGGCCUUAAGUACUUGUAUGGCUCAGUUCUCUCUGAAAACAGGAUGAAGGGUUCUGUGUCUUGUAAAUACUUUUAUAUUUCUAUUGUUUUCAACCACCUGAAAAAGAGAGCAAAUCGAAGAUAACACGCAUAAUCUCUUAACAGGGCAGCAUUUUUACUGCUGCCCGUAUCAGCCUAUGGCCAAGACUCACUUCCUCUUCCAUUGCUUCAAGACAUUAUGCUGUGAGGAUGAACAGAAGAUGUCCAAGGCAAGGAAAGAUACAGAAAGGUGGUGGCACAUCCAGGGCAGCAAGGAGCACAGCUCCUGCAUCAGUACCGGCCACAGCCCAGGCUCAAAACGACUUGGUAGGGCUGGCCAUGCUGCUGCACAGCCCUGGCACAAAGCAAGCUCAUGCAGUAUGCCAGUGAUGUUGACCCAUCAGGUCCUACAGAAAGCAGUGUUUUCCGCAGGAAUGGAGGGCAAUGUCCUUUGACCUGGCAGGGACGUUCACAAGUCGUUCUGGAGGCUCCUGGAUUCACGAUAAUGAGGUUUCUGGUGCAACUGCCCAAAUUUUCCUUUUAAUUCUCUCCUCCUUCUUCUUGUGUUAACUUAGGUAACCUUGGACUUAGACACACAUCUGCAACAAACUCAGUCACUGGACUGGCUGUCAAUAACAGUCAGAUGACGGCCUGGCCUACUUUAUAUGUUAACAGCAUCUCACAGCUGAAUAAAGGGUUGAUUAAGAGCAAUCACUGUAGAGCAAUCUCGAGAGACUGUUCUACCUGUGACUGAUAGGCAGACUGUGCCCCUUUCUUACUAUCUGAGGGAUUUGCACUUGACCAGAGUUAUAAGUGUAUUUAUGAAUUCCAGGCUUUAUUAUUGUAAUUCCCUAUUCCUGCAUAUACAAUUGCCAAGUUUAAAGUGAAAAUCGAUUCAGAACAUCACAUCUUCUCAAAGGCACAGCCUGCAACCAACAAUACCUCAUCCUUUAUAUCCUAUUCUCUCCUCUGCUGCUACCCCGAAUACUGCAAAAAAUUGAAAAAUCCUAUUUUCCCUUCCACUGCUCUCCAGGGGAGUGGGUAAUCUACCCAAGGGCUGGCUGCACAGCGUGUCAUUUGGAUCUCCCACAACACCUCCAAUGGACAACUGCAAAGAGUAAGUUCGUGUCAGGGCAACAACUGGAUCUUUUAGAAGUGAACAGGAACAAGCUACACUUGUUUUGAAGGGAAAUUCAAGACAAUUUCUUCAGCUCUAGCCCUACUAUUUACCAUUUGUGAGGGAUACCUAGACUCCUAUGAAGAGUUCUGUAGAGCCACAUACUUAGAAAAGGCAAGAGGAAAUUGUACUCAUACAAAAUACACAGAUAUGGACACACAUCUCCAAGCAUUCUUUAAAAAGCUGCUCAAUCUACCAGGUACAAUAAUACAAUCUUAUACUCAGGAAAUAUCAUACAAAUGUUUGAACUACUUCAGAAAAAAAAGAGAGGACUGCUGCAGUGUCAGGAUUACUAAGUACUUACUGCAAAUGCCACCGAUAAUUAAACCACUUUUUCUUUCCCUAUAUUUAUCCAUUUAAUAACACAAAUGUCUUUCUGCAAGCAGUUGAAUUCCAGCUGUAUAUGCCCCAUCCUGAAGGGAAGAGCUGCCAGCACGCAUGGCUCUACAACACAACGCAAUGGGCACAUUUCAUCUCUGGGACAAGAUGUGGCAAAUCUCAAGGGAGCAUUGCACACCUCCUGCACUGCAGAGUUCACCUCAUGCUCUCGUAUAGAAAAUGUCCCAGGGUUCGGUGGCGUGGCAAGGCACCAGUGGCUCAGCUACUUAACAUAAUGGCUAGUGUCUUCCAUGGAGAAAAGGUUGUACCUGAGAGGAUACAACCAAUAUCAACUCUGAAGUUACACUUCCAGCCUUGCUCUUGCAAGAAGGAAGUUUCUCCUGUGUUGCAUUAUCGGAAAGCCAGCAACUCAGUUGCACAGGCUCCUGAGGGUCCAUUGAUUAUUUUAAAAGACUCCAUGAAAGGUAAUUAUGAAAAGAUUCGUUACAGCAGAAAUCCUCAGGGAUCUGCAAACUUUAAAAAAAAGGCUGAAAAUCACAGGUUUAGGCUGCUGCUGCCUUCCUCCUUCCUUGAAGCCUCUACUGGCAAGCCACCCUUCUGAAGAAACUCCCUUUUCUACAUUGACUCCCCAGAAACUCUAAGGAAAUUACCUUCCUAAAGAUACAACCAGACAAGGACUUUUGACACUCACCUGACCCCUCGCUGAGCUGAUUCAGCUCACUGAACUGGCAGAAAAUAAAUCCAGAGAAGUAAAAAAGGGACAGUUUUCUGAUGGGUUAAUGAGCUGGAUCAGCGCAGUGAACAUGAAAGUCAGCCUAAGGGUGAGUCAGGAUCAUGUAGGAGGGAGUGUGAAGAGCAAGGAGGAUUGACCCUUUUCACAACAGAAAGUGAUCAGAAGAGCUCAGUUUGUCUCCACUAACGGUAUCCCUAGUUGGGAAUAUAAUAU